GCUCCGUCAGCGGCGGGCUAACCGUCUCUCCACCCAACAGCCAACAGCCGAGGUGGGCGGAAGCUCCACAGUGAACUGGGUAGCCUGACGGCAGAGCCAGUGCCCGGCGCUGAGAAAGCCCAAGGAUGUGAAAGAACCAGAAGUAGCAGCAUCGGCAGCUACAGAAGGUGAACCCUAAACUCCGAGUUCCUAGCCGGUGGAGGCCAUCAAGAGAGGCAUGCAAGGAGUGCCCCUGGAGAUGGAGUCAAGGAUGCUUUGGAUUCCACGUGGGUCAGGCAGGCUCCAGAAAGAAGAGACAGAACCAGCAAAGGCACGUGGGGUGUGUCCGGGGAACAUCUGCCAUUUGAACAAAAAUGCAGGAAAAGGAUAAACCGGGAGAUCGGGUUGGACGGAGCGUUCUUUGACGAAUCCCCACAGAAGUCUUGUUGGGCUGGGCUCCCCCCUGCCAAGGCCAAGGUCACGGGUUCUAGAACUCUCGGGGGGUCUGGGGUAGCGAGCAGGUGAUGGUUGGCUGCACACUGAUUCACCCAUCCUUGCUGCCCACUCGUCUGGCCGCCCGGGCAGGAGUCUCCUGUCCCACAGACCAGCAGCCCACCCAGGACAUGCCACCCCGUGACAGCAAGCUGGGAGCAGCCCAACAGACUCCCUGGCACCAGCCCAUACUUUUCAUUUCCUCCUUUUUGCCUCAACUCAGAUUAGUGCUGAUAAAACCCCAGCCAUGAAUAGAACAGAUACAUGAGAACAUUUUUACUGCUGAAAUAAUGUCUUGAAUUCACAUUCAAAAUUGAGGGUCACAGGCCAGCAAUCAGCCGACUAGAAACACCAUCCCUGGUUGACCUGUUGACAAAAUAAUUCACAGGCCGUCCUCAGGCCUCAGCCACGGAGCUCUGAACAAGCUCCCGGUUGCUGAAUGAACCAUGGCAGACGCCAGAUAAAACUAUUCAUCUUAAAAUCAUCUCAGGACCCGGGAAUGCCUCUCAAAGCAAGUUCAAAUGGCCACACGCUAGAACAAAAGGCCAAUCCUAGAACACCACGUCUCUGCUUUACUGAGUUUUUAUACUCUUUCAGCAAGGUGUCUUAGGCCCUGCCGUGUGGCUGAGAGUCUGGGAAGGCUGGUGAGAAGGUGGGUCCACCGGGGCCCCAAGGAAGUGUCACCAGCCAGCGCUGCUGCCAUGAAAAGUCCCUCCAAGUUCCUGUCUUGCUUCGUAUGUGACGAUGCGGUUGCAGUGCUUCAACUGCCUCCCAUGCCGGCAGGAUUCGCUGAGCCUCUCUCACUUCUCCAGGACAUGUGGAAGAGCGUCACCAUCUCACAGGUCAGCCACUCCAUCCGGGACUUCUCAGGACACACCUCCUGAUUUGGGACGGUAGAACCCGCCCUUCCGGGAGGUGUGGGGUGAGCAAAGGUAACUGCGUACUCACCCUGCCCUGCCUGUGUGUGCAGCCCACAGAGGGGAUUAUGGAACUGUGACGACUUUCAUACAAGCAGAGACCAAGAGAGACGGGGUCUGAGGCAAACAAGUAACAGGAGGGAAAGAAUAAUUGCAACUCAGGAGGGCUCCGGGGAAGAGACGCCCUUUGCCCGUGGCUUAGAGUACGUGGAAACUGCGGCCCGGGGAGACCCAGGAACCUGCCCAUGUCACAAGGCAGUCUGUAGUGAGCCUGCGUGAGAACCCUUGCUCCAGGAAAGGGGUGACAGGGCGUCGCUGAGGAGCUGCCAGGCUUUCGGCCCUAAGCGGUCAGGCAGGUGUGGCGGGCUCUUGAUGAGAGGACUCUGCUCACAAGGGGACCGGGAGCACUUCGAUGUGGAAGCCAGACCACCCGCUCCUGAGGGCCAUGCAGAUGACCGCACCCAGGCCACCGCGAGCCCUGCCUGUUCAGUCUUCUGCUCCUGCUACUGUUUCUCUCGUGAUGAGAACUUAACUCUGUGAUGACGCAGCCGCCCGCCGACCGCCUGGGUUUUGUUUGCUUGCCAUGAGGCAUGUGGAAUCUCUGCUCCCUGACCAGGGAACCUGCACUCCCUGCAUUGGAAGGCAAAGUCUUAACCAUUGGACCACCAGGGGGGUCCCUCUAGUGUCUGUCCACUUCCCAGGAGCUUUCCUGUGCUCAUCACGACAGCCUUACAAGGUCAUAAGGGCGAGGAGACAGAUCCCUGGUCACAGACGACCCAGCAAGGUGACGAGACCUCUCCCUCAGCCAGGCUGGCGCUCGCCGGUUGUGGCCUUGGUUCUUAGUUGACACGUCCUCUGUAUAAGCCCCGAGUGACCCACUGCAGCCCCACGUUCUUCAGGACUAGCGAAAUAAGUAAUUUGUAAAUUUGAACGGAUGGAUAAUGAUGGAUUUUAAAAAACAUUUUGUUGAGGAAAUUUUAAGCUUAUAAGAGCUGGAGAGACUAGUGUGAAGAAUUCCCUUGUACACAGUUUCAGCCAUCAGCUGUCUUCCUUACUAGUUUUAUCUACCCUCUUCAACAAGCACUCACCCUUUUUUCUGGAGCUUAAAACACAUGCCAGCCACUGCACCAUCUCGCCUGAAAGUACUUCACUGUGCAUUUACAGCCAUUGCCCCAUUCAACAAAAGCAACAGCAGUCCAUGUUAAAUUUCCCCAAUUGUUUCAGAAAUAUCUUUUUCCAGCUGGUGGCUGAUACUCAGAGGAGUAUUGACUUUCUGGAGAAUCAAAGCAGAAACAAAAGGUUUUGCCUUGAACUUCUUGGCUGCCUGUCCAUUCCUCCCGACCUCUACCCUCCCAUCACCCUCUAAGCAGAGCCAAGGGCCAGGGUGACACUUUGAGAGUUGGUGAGCAGGUGUCCCAGAGCCGUGUAGGUAGGCCUCGGAAAGGUGUGGUCCUGACACCAAGUCCUCCUCCAGGAGAUCACCUCCUCAUCAGAAAAGAUGGACUCUCUCCAUCCGCACUCUCCACGUGGGGCCAAGAGGUCAGAGGUCCAGCUUUUCCUGAAGAGCCAGAAUCCACUGCAGAUCUCGUGACUCCACAUGGACUGCAAUCAGGAACCGGGUUCUGAAGGGUGAGGGGAAGGGACACACUCGAUUGUUCACAGGAGCGAACGCGUAACUACCCCACUCUGAAACACUUAGAGCGCUCUGUGUGUGCAGAAGCACUUGGGCACGAGCCUCAGAGCAGACGCCAGGGGAAGACGCCAGGGAGUCAGGGACUUCCCUGCCACAAGCAGAGGCCACAUGCGACAGAUCCCAGGGGGUUCCUUCCUGGUGUUCUGUGCCCUUAGUAACCAGAUCUGCCUUCAAGCCACGAGUUCUAAUAGGAAUCAUACUAUGUGUUAAUUAUAGGUUUAAACAAAGAAAGGAUUUUGUAUAAACUUGACCAGCUCAUCUGAUAAAAAUAGUUCUUGACACUUCAGUAAACCUCAUUUCCAGCCUGUUUGCUUCCCCACGUAUGAAAAGUUAACUCAUCUGCUUACAGAUAUUUUAGGAAUCCUCCCCAUUUUUAUCAAUGAGCUCUUGGUUCCAGAGGGAUAAAUCCUGAAGGUAGUAUUACUGGGGAUUAAACUCAAGGCUCUGGGAUCGGAUGCCAGCACCGAUGCUCCUAACAGUCCUUUCACCUCGGACGAUCUAACUAGCCUCUUUGGUGUCAUUCUCCUGCCUACGAAAUGAGGCCAAGGUUAUUGCCACCCCACGUGACAAGAUAACACGUUCUCAGUCAACAAACCCUUACUGAGUGCCAGGCAAGGUUCUAGGUGUCAAAGACACUCCCGUCAAC
ensembl:lncRNA